UCAAGAGAGAGGUCUCACUCUGUAGACCAGGCUGGCCUCCAACUCACAGGGAUCCACCUGCCUCUGCUUCCCAAGUGCGUUCAGAUACCAUAGAGCAAUGAAAACAUGAGACUUGCUCUCAAAUGCUGUCGGGAAUGCAUUUGGGAGGAACAGGGCUCAUCAUGCCCAUGCCUGACUCCUCUGUUCUGAGCCCUGUCUUCACGCUUUCCUUCUUAACAGGAUGGGGACUUUUAUCGGUGGGGGAGGGGCACAAGCCGUGGGGCACGCAGAGGGGUCAGAGGGAUCAAACUUAGGCCAUCAGGUUUGGUGACAAGUGCCUUUACUUGCCAAACCAUCUUCCUGGCGCCUUUUAAAAAUGUAUUAGUUUCUCUUUUCGUCUUCAUAGGGGUUCCUGGGAUUGAACUCAGUUUGUCAGCCUUACAGAGCUAGCACCUGUGAGCCAGAGAGGGACAUUUUAUAGGAGCCACAGGGCUGUGCCUUCAGGAGCCCAGAUUUCUUUUUUUCCUCUCUCUCUUCUCUCCUCUCUUCUCCUCCCCUCCCCUCCCUUAUCCUCUCUUUUUCUUUUCUCUCAAGGAGGAUGUGACUGUGCAGGGUCACUGCUGCCUUCCAGCCAGGAACUCGGGAGAUCUUGCAAUCUUGCUGGAGGGAAUCUGAGGUGAGGUCCUCAGUGAGGAUGUCCUUGACUGACAGCUGUCAGGCUUUUUGACCCUUGAAUCACUUAAGGCAGUGGUUCUCAACCUUCCUCAUGCUGCAACCCUUUAAUACAGUUCCCCAUGCUGUGGUGACCCCCGACCAUAAAAUGUUUUCGUUGUUACUUCAUAACUGUCAUUUCGCUACUGUUAUGAACUGUCAUGUAAACACGCAGGGUGUCUGAUGUGGGACCCCCCCCCCCAAAGGGGUUGCAGCCCACGGGUUGAGAACGGCUGACUUAAGGAGUGAUAAGGGCCUGUAGCUGGGUAUCAGUUGACGCAAACCAGAUCAGAGUUGUAGGGAUCAAGAGGAACCUGGGGUGGGUGCCUUGGCUUGCUGGUGGCUUUUUCUUGCAUGCCUUUGUGUUCUGUUUAGCAGCCAGGAGGAACUCUCAGGCUACAAGCCUGCCAGAGGGGAAGGAAGAUGUUCCCUCCAACUCUGCCUGGAGAACCCCUUGGAGGAUGGGACCCCUUGCCUCUGGCAGGCUAAGGACACUCGUGCGGGGAAUGCUGCUCCCUUGGAGGGUAGUUGCACUGCCUGACCCGGAGGUGACAUCCGAGUGAGUCUUCAUACGGUGGAUGGCGUCUUCUACUGUUGAUCCUGCAAGAUGAUCUUUCCUGACAGUUUCUUCUCUGGCCUCUGGCCCUGGCUGAACCAGGGGCUGAUGACUCUGGAUUGAGGGGCAGUCCUUGCCUCUGCCCUGGAUUCCCUGAGGUUUGGGUCACUGAAGCCCAGGGCCUGAGGAGGUAUCCUUCCCCUGGGAGUUUCAAGUUCAGACUCCUACAGCUACAGGGCUCUGCCUUAAGCCUGUGGCUUCUGCCCAGCUCCCCCUUGCCCUGCCAAAUGUCUUGGGGACAGGCACCCAGCAGCUUCCGGGUCUGCCUGACUGCUGGAGAAGCAAUACUAACCUGCCGUCCUAUUUUUAUUUUUUGGUCCUGGUGUUUGAACUCAGGGCUUUAGACAUACUAGGCAAGUGCUCUAUCACUGAGGUACAUGCCCAGCCCCUUUUUUUUGAGACAGAAUCUUGCUAUGUAGUCCAGCCUGGGCUUGAACUCAAUCCUUUUUGCCUCCAUCUCCAGAGUGCUAGCAUUAUAGCUGUGUACCACCAUGCCCAUGUGGCUUUCCUGUUUGGACUUCUGUGUCGGGAGAACAACCCUGAUGGAGGUGGGGUCCAUUCCCCAUGGCUUGGCCAUUGCAGAGCUGUCUGGACAUAGGAAUGGGUAACAGCAUGGUACACUGGAUAGGUAGAGGGACGGGUUAGUUUUCCUUGGACCUUGUUUCUGUUGAUAUAUUGUUUACUCUGUGUCACCAGAGUCCAGGUAGGGCCAGCACCAUCCCUGGCUUUAGGGGUAGGCAUGUGUUCCAGGCCUGGACAAAGACUGCUGGGUUCCUCCUCUCCCCAGUGGGACAUCAGCUGCAUCUUUUCAUGGGAGUUAAGUUGACAAGAUGUCAGCUUGGAAUUGCUGGUGGCCGACUUAUGCAGCUGAGGAUGAAGCCAACAAAGAAAGAAAACACAGAUUAUUCCAUGUGGACUUAUUCCUUGCUACCCAGCAAGUCCCUGAAGCCAGCAGUUGGACUGACCUGGUUAUAUGAGCCAGUGUAUUUUUUCUAAAACAAACUCAUCUUGGGUUUGUGUUACAGAACGGAUCCUAGUACAGCCUGUGAUUCCUACCUUCCUUUCUCAGAACAGCGUUGUUGAGCUGUUCUUUCUUUACAUGCAACAAAAUUCACCAGUGUUAAGUGUACGAUUCCUAGUUUUUCAGGAACACACGCCCUUGUAACUAUCAUCAUCAGGUUGGAAUAUUUCUUAACCUGCCCUAGAAGCUCCAUCGAUCCCUUGAUGGUCAGCCCUCCAGCCGUGGCCCACCGCUGACCUGUUUUUCUGGUGAUUCUUGUCUUUUCCGGGUGGUCACACGGUGUCUAUUAUGUGUCUAGUUUCUCUUAGUGUGUUUUCAUGAUUCAUCCCUCCAUGUGCAUCAGGGUCCAGCCACUCUGUUGUAGGCCGGGCAGCAUCAUGCCAUGUGGGUACAACCACCAUUUGUUCAGCCGUCUGGCAUACGACGGCUGGUUCCAGAUUUUGACUGAUAGGAAUAAAGCUGUUCUGCAUGUUCAAA